AACGAACGCUGGCGGCAUGCCUAACACAUGCAAGUCGAACGAGACCUUCGGGUCUAGUUGCGCACGGGUGCGUAACGCGUGGGAACCUGCCCUUAGGUUCGGAAUAACUCCCCGAAAGGGGUGCUAAUACCGGAUAAUGUCUUCGGACCAAAGAUUUAUCGCCUUUGGAUGGGCCCGCGUUGGAUUAGCUAGUUGGUAGGGUAAAAGCCUACCACGGCGACGAUCCAUAGCUGGUCUGAGAGGAUGAGCAGCCACACUGGGACUGAGACACGGCCCAGACUCCUACGGGAGGCAGCAGUGGGGAAUAUUGGACAAUGGGCGAAAGCCUGAUCCAGCAAUGCCGCGUGAGUGAUGAAGGCCUUAGGGUUGUAAAGCUCUUUUACCCGGGAUGAUAAUGACAGUACCGGGAGAAUAAGCUCCGGCUAACUCCGUG
rnacentral:rRNA from 1 species